GAAACCAACAGGGAUUGCCCCAGUAACGGCGAGUGAAGCGGCAAGAGCUCAAAUUUGAAAGCUGGCUCCUUCGGGGUCCGCAUUGUAAUUUGCAGAGGAUGUUUCGGGAGUGGCCCCCAUCUAAGUGUCCUGGAACGGACCGUCAUAGAGGGUGAGAAUCCCGUAUGGGAUGGGGUGCUCACGCCCGUGUGAACUCCUUCGACGAGUCGAGUUGUUUGGGAAUGCAGCUCUAAAUGUGGUGGUAAAUUUCAUCUAAAGCUAAAUAUUGGCCGGAGACCGAUAGCGCACAAGUAGAGUGAUCGAAAGAUGAAAAGCACUUUGAAAAGAGAGUUAAAAAGCACGUGAAAUUGUGAAAAGGGAAGCGUUUGCGAUCAGACUCGCCGAACGGGGUCCAGCCAACCUUUGGGUAGGUUUAUUUCCCCCCCGCCGGGCCAGCGUCGGUUUGGGCGGCCGGUCAAAGGCCCUGGGAAUGUAACGCCUCUCGGGGCGUCUUAUAGCCCAAGGUGUCAUGCGGCCGCCCGGACCGA
rnacentral:rRNA from 1 species